GUGUCAGCCGCCGCGGUAAUACGUAGGGGGCAAGCGUUGUCCGGAUUUAUUGGGCGUAAAGCGCGCGUAGGCGGCGCGGUAUGUCGUGCGUGAAAUCUCCCGGCUUAACUGGGAGGGGCCGUGCGAAACUGCCGGGCUUGAGGUCAGAAGGGGAAAGUGGAAUUCCGGGUGUAGUGGUGGAAUACGUAGAUAUCCGGAGGAACACCAGUGGCGAAGGCGGUCAUCUGGUUCGCAACUGACGCUGAGGCACGAAAGCGUGGGGAUCAAACAGGAUUAGAAACCCCUGUAGUCC
rnacentral:rRNA from 1 species